rnacentral:misc_RNA from 1 species
AAGAGUUUGGUGCCUUCGGGUACUAUCUCCAACCAAUUGUGAACCAAAUUUGUUGCCUCGACAUCAGGUGGGUACCCGCAAGGUGUACCCAUCCUUCGGUUGCUUGCACCUGAAGAGUGAUGUCUGAGGAUUUUAAAACUUUUUUUAAUCAGUAUCUGAGUUAAACAAAAUAAAAACA